AUAUCUCCACUUAAUAAUGCUAAAAAAGCUAAAUGCAGAACAGUAUACUAGUUAUAGGUAUGCCAUCAGUGUCUAAAAAGGAAGGAGGAAGGGAAUAAGAGUAAAAUGUGUUUAUGUUUGCUUGCAUAUGCAUAAAAAACUCUGGAAGGAACAGAAAUAAUUUAUAAUAAUGGAUAUAUAUAAGCGGGGUAGUAUGGUAACCAGACAAGUAGGAACAGGGGUGGGUGGGAAAUUUUUACUGUUAAACCCUUACUAAUUAUAUUCUUUUAUUUCUGGACCAUACGAAUCUAUAAUCUUUUCAGAAUUUGAAUUUAAAAACACAUAUUUUUUCUUCAGAGUAAAAAUUUUUACUGACAUAGCUCAACCAAAAUUGGGGUAUUUUACUGACUAUGAAGAUGCAUGGUUUCUCCAGUUUGUGCCCAUUUCACAAAGGAUAUUCCAAUAACGCUGCUCAAGGCUGACAUCCAACAGGAAGGUCUUAGCAACCAUCUCAGCUGAAUGGAGUAAAGUCCAUGCACUUACCUUGUCAACAGCCUUCAAGUCACAGCCUGCCUUCAGCAGGGUUUCCACCAGUUCCACAUUUCCACGAUCAGCAGCUACAUGCAGAGGGGUUUGCUGCUUCUGCCAUGAAAUUAAGGAGGGGAACAAACUUGGACGGUGAAAAGACAAAUGGAAAGUAUAGCCAUCCUAUUUAGGUUCAAGGGAAAACACAGGUCAUAUAUUUUUUAAUGGAUACUGGGGCAUUCAUUGCAUUAUUAUUUGCAAUAGUGAAAAACUGAAAGGAAAUUACAUGUUUAACAAGGAGACUCACUAGAUAAAUUAUGAUAAUCUAUAUAUUGGAAUAACAGGCAACCAUUAAAAAUUAUUUUUUUAAAAAUGAUUUCAAUAUUAGGUACCUAAAGUAGUCAAAUAUAUAGAGACAGAAAGUAGAAUGGUGGUUCCCAGGAGCUGGAGGAGGGAAUGGGAAGUUACCGUUUAAUAGAUAUAAAAUUUCAGUUUGGGAAGAUGAAAAAUGUUCUGAAGAUGGAUGGUGGUGAUAUUAUACCAAAUGAAUGUAAUUAAUGCUGCUGAA
rnacentral:lncRNA from 10 species